rnacentral:misc_RNA from 1 species
AACCAUUCUCACCUGCGGCUAGACCUGCGGAGGGAUCAUCAUUGAAAACCCAAUUUGACCAAGGGGUUUUUGCUUGAGAGGGGAGGGGGAUGAAAACUCUGCAUUUUUGUUUCCCAAUUCUUGAGGGCAGCCCCUUGGACAAACAACCAAUCUUCAUGACUAGGAAAAAUGAAAUGAUACACAGUGAUUUGGUGGGGGGCUGACACAAGUUCUUGUCUGACAAGUAGCUUUGUGAUUUGG